AGCAGCCGCCACGGUAACACGGAGGGUGCAAGCGUUAAUCGGAAUUACUGGGCGUAAAGCGCACGCAGGCGGUCUGACAAGUCAGAUGUGAAAUCCCCGGGCUUAACCUGGGAACUGCAUUUGAAACUGUCAGGCUGGAGUCUUGUAGAGGGGGGUAGAAUUCCAGGUGUAGCGGUGAAAUGCGUAGAGAUCUGGAGGAAUACCGGUGGCGAAGGCGGCCCCCUGGACAAAGACUGACGCUCAGGUGCGAAAGCGUGGGGAGCAAACAGGAUUAGAUACCCGAGUAGUCCCUGUCUCUUAUAC
rnacentral:rRNA from 1 species